CGAACGGGGAGCAGCCCAGAGUCUGAAUCAGCUUGUGUGUUAGUGGAACGGUCUGGAAAGUCCGACGGUACAGGGUGAUAGUCCCGUACACCAAAAUGCACAGGCUGUGAACUCGAAGAGUAGGGCGGGACACGUGGUAUCCUGUCUGAAUAUGGGGGGACCAUCCUCCAAGGCUAAAUACUCCUGACUGACCGAUAGUGAACCAGUACCGUGAGGGAAAGGCGAAAAGAACCCCGGCGAGGGGAGUGAAAAAGAACCUGAAACCGUGUACGUACAAGCAGUGGGAGCACCUUCGGGUGUGACUGCGUACCUUUUGUAUAAUGGGUCAGCGACUUAUAUUCUGUAGCAAGGUUAACCGUAUAGGGGAGCCGCAGGGAAACCGAGUCUUAACUGGGCGUUAAGUUGCAGGGUAUAGACCCGAAACCCGGUGAUCUAGCCAUGGGCAGGUUGAAGGUUGGGUAACACUAACUGGAGGACCGAACCGACUAAUGUUGAAAAAUUAGCGGAUGACUUGUGGCUGGGGGUGAAAGGCCAAUCAAACCGGGAGAUAGCUGGUUCUCCCCGAAAGCUAUUUAGGUAGCGCCUCGUGAA
rnacentral:rRNA from 1 species